rnacentral:ncRNA from 1 species
UUUAUUGAGAGUUUGAUCCUAGCUCAGGAUGAACGCUGGCGGCGUGGAUAAGGCAUGCAAGUCGAGCGAUGCAGCUACUAACACCUAGCUUCUAACAACCAACUUGAUACAAUGAAAAACAAAUGCCAUUCAGGUAUAGAAAAUUCAAAGUUUAUCAAGAUGCCAUAAGUUUCCAUGGCAAGGUAGUUAGAUUGACAAAAAAUUUUCCGAUAGACUUCAAGCACUUAACAGAUCAAAUGAAAAGAGCGACACUAUCAAUUGUGUUGAACAUAGCUGAAGGAUCUGCCAAAUCAUCUGAUAAAGAUUUUGGUAGAUUUAUCGGAAUGUCUCUUGGCUCUACCGACGAAGUUGUUGCAGGUUUUGAAGUCGCAAUGACUGAAAAGCUUGUAAAUCUGGAGCAGUUCACUCAAAUUGAGAUGGACGCUUUAGAAAUAAGUAAUCAACUCGGUGGUUUAUUAAAAAAGCUUAGAAGUUAAGUUUGGAAGUUGGAAGUUAGUUGUUGGUAGUUGUAUAGCGGCAGACGAGGUAGUAAUACGUAGGUACGUUCCCAAGAGUCUGGCAUAGCUCAUCGAAAGGUGAGGUAAUUCCAGAUGGUCCCGCAAGGGUAAAGCCAAGUUAUUUAUUUAAUUUGGUCGCUCUUGGAUCGGCCUGCGGCAUAUCAGCUAGUUGGUAGGGUAACGGCCUACCAAGGCGACGACGUGUAGGGGAGCUGAGAGGCUGACCCCCACCGAUGGAACUGAGAUAAAAGUUGUCUCCCUGUGGAGUAAUCCACAGGUAAAAUCCAACUCAUAACGGUGAAACCUUUGGGGGUAUGAUAUUAUAUACCCCAUGAAGGCAAUACCGUGGGAAGUUAAUGCACAAAAGUUAUCAGAUGCUUACGUGGCAGGUUUUCUAGAUGGCGAUGGUUCGAUAGUGGCAACUGUGGAAAAGCGUUUUGAGAGAAGACGUUUUCCUUACAGGGUCAGACUGCGAAUCAACUUUACGCAACACAAAAGACACCGAAGGUUGAUCGAGAUUAUAAAAAUUUUUCUCGGCAAUACCGGUAGCGUUCGUGAAGCGAAAAGUCACCCACUAGUAGAGCUUGUUAUACAAGAUCGGUAUGAAAUAGAGAGAAUUAUCACAAGAUUGUUACCCCACAUAGUUCUCAAGGAAAGACAGGCAAAGACCCUCCUUUCCAUCAUUGAGAUCUAUAAAAAAGCAACAGUCAAGACGAGAAGUUCUCUUUCAGAAAAAGAAUAUGUGGCUAUUUUGAAACUCGUGAGAGAAAUAAGGAAACUUAAUUCUCGGACGGGUGGGAAAAUAGAACUUAAGGCAUUUAACCCCGUAACGACUUUUCGCUUAGGCGAAAGAGUUUCUGAAAUGUCGUAGCAGACUAAAACAGAAGCUAACAUGUUGGCCCCAGACCUAGUUUUCUAAACUAGAGCUGGGUGAAGGUAUAGUCUGAUACUCCGAGUGAUCGGAGAAAACAUUAUGACGGUCCAUACUCCUACGGGAGGCAGUAGCCGAGAAUAUUCGACAAUGGACGAAAGUCUGAUCGAGCGACGCCGCGUGGUGGAUGAAGUCCUUCGGGACGUAAACACCUUUUAUGGGGGAGGAAUUUCGAUGACUGUACCCCAUGAAUAAGAGGUUGCUAACUCUGUAGACCCGAAGAGGGUUUGGUGCAGAGUUGCGGUGGUAACACCGCAUAGGAAAAUCUCGCUA